AAUACGUAGGGUGCAAGCGUUGUCCGGAAUUAUUGGGCGUAAAGAGCUCGUAGGUGGCGGGUCACGUCGGGUGUGAAAGCCCGGGGCUUAACCCCGGGUCUGCAUUCGAUACGGGCUUGCUAGGGUCCGGCAGGGGAGACUGGAAUUCCUGGUGUAGCGGUGAAAUGCGCAGAUAUCAGGAGGAACACCGGUGGCGAAGGCGGGUCUCUGGGCCGGUACCGACGCUGAGGAGCGAAAGCGUGGGGAGCGAACAG
rnacentral:rRNA from 1 species